UACGGAGGAUCCAAGCGUUAUCCGGAUUUAUUGGGUUUAAAGGGUGCGUAGGUGGCCUGUUAAGUCAGGGGUGAAAGACGGUGAGCUUAACUAUCGCAGUGCCUUUGAUACUGACGGGCGUUGAAUACACUAGAGGUAGGCGGAAUGUGACAAGUAGCGGUGAAAUGCAUAGAUAUGUCACAGAACACCAAUUGCGAAGGCAGCUUACUAGUGGUGUCAUUGACACUGAGGCACGAAAGCGUGGGGAGCGAACAGG
rnacentral:rRNA from 1 species